ACAUAAUUUGACCAAAAAAUAAAAGAGUGAGAGAAUGGUGAAGUAAUUACCUCAAAAUUUAAAAAUUGAAAAAAAGAGAAGCGGUGAAGCGAAAUCCCAUGUAAUGCAAUUCAACCCACCCACAUCAUCUUUAAUCUAACCGUUACCACAUAGAAAUAAAGCUGAGACGAUGAUCAAUUGCGUCUCUUUCAUGGACGACCCAGUUGCCCUCUUCAUGUCUCUCGAUGACUGGCAAGAUGAUGCAUCCUCCUCUUCUCAAUCUUCUUCCGACACUUUCUUGGUCGGUUUUGUUAUUGCUAACAUAGUGGGUCUCCGUUAUUAUUCCGGCACCAUCACUGGCCGGGAACUGGUCGGUUUGGUUCGCGAAUCCACCAACCCUUAUGAUCACAAUGCUAUUCGAGUCCUCAAUACAAGAACCGUUCAAGUGGGUCACAUUGAAAGGUCAGUGGCUUCUGUUUUGUCUCCUUUGAUUGACUCUAGGAAAAUUACUGUGGAAGGUAUUGUUGCUAACUCUCGUAGUACUCUUAAUAAGUUCAAAAUUCCUUGUCAAGUUCAUGUCUUUGCGAGGAUUGAGGAUCUUGACUCUGUUAAAACUGAGAUUAUGCGUUCUGGGUUGGUUUUGAUUACUGAAAAUGAUGCCAGUUUUGGGUUGUCUGAGGCCAUGGUGGUUAAAGAAAAUAAUAAGAAAACUGGGAAUAGAAGUGUGGAUGAAAUUUUUAAGUUGGUGGAUGACAGUGUGAGUAAAAAGGGUAAAUUAGGGACUUUGGAGCCGCCCAAGGAGGUGAUUAAGUCCGAGCUUUUUGCGCAUCAGAAGGAGGGGCUGUGGUGGUUGAUGAAUAGAGAGAAUUCUGAUGAAUUGCCUCCCUUUUGGGAGGAGAAAGACGGGAAAUUUGUGAAUGUGUUGACGAAUUAUCAGUCUUAUAACCGGCCUGAGCCAUUGCGUGGUGGCAUUCUUGCGGAUGAUAUGGGGUUGGGAAAAACUUUAACUCUGCUAUCUCUGAUUGCUUUUGAUAAAGUUAGUAGUGAUAAGAGUAUUGAUAGAAGAAAUAUCAAACAACAACCAUGUGAGGUGGAUGAGGAAGUGUCUCUUACGAAUGACAAUAAAGGGAAGAGAGGUAGGGUUAAAAAGGAGACCGGAGGGCGAAAAAGGCGUAAAACUGAAGAUACUUGUUUAGAUAGUAAGGUACAAGGGAAGUCUGUGAGUACAAUUGACAAGUCGUGCAGUGCAGGACCAACACUAAUUGUGUGCCCGCCUGUUGUGUUCUCAACAUGGAUAACACAGCUCGAAGAUCACACUGAACCAGGAUCGCUCAAAGUAUACAUUUAUCAUGGGGAAAGGACUAAAGAAGCUGAUGUGCUUAGGAAGCAAGAUAUAGUGUUGACGACAUAUAGUACAUUGGUUAGUGAAGAUUCUUCUGAAGACUCCCCUGUGAAGAUGAUCAACUGGUGGAGAGUCAUUUUGGAUGAGGCACAUGUCAUCAAGAAUGCAAUUGCACAACAAAGUCGAGCAGUUACUAAUUUGAAGGCUAAGAGGAGAUGGGUUGUUACUGGAACGCCUAUACAGAAUGGAUCGUUAGAUUUGUUUUCGCUGAUGGCAUUUUUGCGAUUUGAGCCAUUUUCCAUCAAGAAUUAUUGGCAAAGUCUGGUGCAACGCCCACUUGCCCAGGGGGAUAAAAAGGGGCUCUCACGGCUGCAGGUUUUAAUGGCGACAAUUUCUUUGCGGAGAACAAAAGACAAGGGUUUAGUUGGUUUGCCAUCGAAAACUGUGGAAACUUGUUACGUUGAACUUUCACAAGAAGAAUGUGAAAUGUAUGACCAGAUGGAAGGGGAAGCAAAGGGUGUUGUCCAAAGCUUUAUUAAUACUGAUAGUCUAACUCGCAACUAUUCUACAGUACUUUGCAUUAUUUUACGACUUCGACAGAUAUGCAACGAUCCGGCUUUGUGUCCAUCAGAUCUGAGGGCAUUACUUCCUUCCAACAGUAUUGAAGAUGUCUCCAAUAACCCUGAAUUGCUUGAGAAGGUAGUUGCGUUACUGCAGGACGGUGAAGAUUUUGACUGCCCAAUUUGCAUUUCUCCACCAACAGAUACUGUAAUUACGCGAUGUGCUCAUGUAUUUUGCCGACCCUGCAUCUUGAAAACCCUGCAACGCGUGAAGCCCAGCUGCCCACUUUGCCGCCGAUGUCUAACUAUGGCUGACCUGUUUUCAGCGCCUCCUGAAUCUUCUUCCACUGAAAACACUGAAAUUUCUGGUUCAAAAUCAAACGCAUCAUCCAAGGUCCGUGCUCUUCUGAACCUGCUCAUUGCAGCAAGAGAGAGAAACCCGACUGCAAAAUCAGUAAUAUUUUCACAAUUUCAGAAGAUGUUGGUAUUACUUGAAGAGCCGCUAAAAGCAGCUGGUUUUAAGAUCUUGCGGUUAGACGGAACAAUGAGUGCAAAGAAGAAGCAUCAAGUGAUAAAAGAUUUUGGUGCGCUUGGACCGAUUGGGCCCACUGUUCUGCUAGCGAGUCUAAAGGCUUCAGGUGCUGGUAUAAACCUUACAUCUGCUUCCACAGUGUAUUUGUUGGAGCCAUGGUGGAACCCAGCCGUUGAGGAACAAGCAAUGGACCGUGUGCAUCGAAUUGGACAGAAAGAGGAUGUGACAGUGGUGAGGUUGAUCACCCGAAACAGCAUUGAAGAAAGGAUAUUAGAGAUGCAGGAAAGGAAAAAGAAAUUGGCAAAGGAAGCGUUUGGAAAGCGGGGAGCAAAAGUACAUGAUGUUAGGACAGAUGAUCUUCGCAUACUCAUGUCCUUGUGAGUUCUUACGCUUGCUCACUCUGCAUCAGAUAAUACAGAUACCCGUUGCAGCACAAACGGAUGAGAUUGGAAUUUUAUUUUGAAACCACUCCCUUUCAACAGCAAUGAAGUUUAAAAAUGAUAGUUGGAGUCGAGAA